CUCACUUCUUGGCGUUUUGGCUAAGAUCAAGUGUAGUAUCUGUUCUUAUCAGUUUAUUACACUUGAUCUUAUUUUUUUUCCCCCUCUACUCGGCUCUCGUGAGGCCCCAUCUGGAGUACUGUGUCCAGGACUGGGGCCCCCAGCA
rnacentral:snRNA from 1 species